UAUAAAUCCCUCUCUCUCUCUUCUCCUUUUUUUUCACCUGACACAAACACCACUUAUUCUUCUUCUUUCUCUUUUUCCUCUUCCUCUUCUUCAUAUUACCCUCGUUUUGCUUCUGCCGGAUUCCCUCUCCUCCAAUCAUUUGGACCGAAACACAUCACACCCAUUUGCAAAAGAUCAAAUUUUUGCACCUUCAAAGGCUCAAACACUCUGAGAAGAAGGAAAAGUUCGUACCUUGGAGCUACCAACAAAAAAAAUGACCAUAGGUGGGGAUAGUUUGCUUCAGGUUGUUGAGGAAGAAGAAGAUUCUCCUCCUGAGUCUGCUUUGCUUGAUCCUGAGAACAAUUCUAGGCCAAGAAGAAUCGCACUUUUCGUUGGGCCUUCUCCAUUUGCCUACACUCAUAUGAAGAGGAAAUCAUCAAGAAUUGGAGAUCUGCUUCAAAGAAGGCAGCAAACUUAGGUGGAUUUCAUUAUACAUCCAAAUACCGAUCAGUUGAAGACAUAUGCAUCUACAAAAGUCACCGGUUCGCCAAUGCCUUUUUUGUUUUCUUCUUCUAAGAGGCUUUGUUCUGUUUCCAUAGGUUAUAGAAGUGUAGAUUAAAUCAUUUCGAUUCUCUAAUCACUAAUCUUCCAAUAAAGGAUUUUUUUUGCAUUAAAAACUAUCAUUUUUGCAUUAGAAGAAGACAUGAUGAUAGUAUAAACAAGUCCAUUUAAAUCAUCUUCAUC